AUCGCUUCUCGGCCUUUUGGCUAAGAUCAAGUGUAGUAUCUGUUCUUAUCAGUUUAAUUCAUAGGGUAACUUCUCAUAUCUUUUUAAAAAUAUAUUUUUAUUGAUUUCAGAGAGGAAGGGAGAGGGAGAGAGAAGUAGGAACAUCAAUGAUGAGACAGAAUCAUCAAUUGGCUGCUUCCUGCAUGCCCCCCACUGGGGAUUGAACCUACAACCC
rnacentral:snRNA from 1 species